rnacentral:lncRNA from 1 species
GAGAACUAGACACCUAACUACAAAGAUUUAAACCUAUUUUUCCAAAAAAAUGUCAUACCCGAACAUAAGCCAAGAUACAAUCGCGAAAAUCCUCAAAUGUGUGUGUUUUGAUUACUUGAAUGAAUUUUAUUAGAACAUGAUCAAACUCAAUAUACACUAUUUUGCAUAUUGAUUGAGAGAUUACCCUAUCAAUUGAGUGAGUCAUGGUGAGAUGAGAGACAGGUUGAAUAUUUGCCAAAGAUUGAGGAGAUUUUAUGAACUUGUCGGAUUGUAGUUGGAAGCCAGAAUGAUGGUCAGGUAAAUAAAAUUUCAUAUGGUGAUGUUCAAUUGUUAUUGUAAUACCCUAAAUUUUGUUCAUCCAUUUUCUACUAUUAUAUGGGUUUUAGUCUCAUUAUAUUUUAAAUAGAUGAGAUCUCUCAUUUAGUAGUGAAGUGAGAUUAAAAGAGUUACAAGCACGAGGUCUUGGGUUUAGCUCUCACCUUUUCAUUUUUUAUAUUUUUAUUUUUCUUUAAUCUGAUUUUCCCUAUAAAUAGAUUUAAUUUUUUUAUUUUACUUUAAUUUUUUUUUAAACCAUACGAUGAUGCUCUAAUGAUUUUUUUUCAAUUUAACUCAUUAUGUUAUGAAUUAUUUGUUCAUAUAUUAUAUUUAAUAUUUUUAACUAUUAAGACAUUAACAUUCACAAUUUCUAACAUUUUUUCUUCUUGUUAUACUAUUUUUUAACUUUUUUUUUAGAUUAAGCAAAACAUUUUUCUCAAAAAAAAAAAAGACCUUCUCCCUGUAGAUAUCUCCAAAAUUCCCCAAGUCUCUCACGUAAAUAUUCACAUAACUAUACUAACUUCAUCAUCUCUAAUUUAUCAAAGUCAUAUCCUUACCAUCAAAAUUCUUUCCCACCAUGUUUGAUUCAUAACACCAAAUGUCUCACCUUCUUACUUACACAUGAAUCACUCUCAUAAACACCAUAACCACCAAUCCCAUUAACUUCAUCAACCAUUAUUAGCAUUCUACACAAACUUUCAAACCAAGUUAAUCGCCAUUAAACCCACAUCAAUUCAUCACAACCUGCAAACCACACUAACAAAAACCAAAUUAUAACAACAACAUCAAUUAACAAUAAGAUCCAACAACAACAACAACAACAAUUAAUAUUUCAAGCAAAAUUGGAUUCAAGAACUGGGAAGAAGAAUAAAAUGAUUCGAAGCUCCAUUGCCAGCAACCGCAACUCCGACAAAAUCCCUCCAAGAGUCAACCACCUCCCGCCUCCGUGCAAGGCUGCUGGAAAUCGCAACCUAAGACAAGCUUCACGACGGCGAGAUCUGCUCUUCCGGCGAUGCACGUUCCCCGACGGUCGUCGCCACUCAAAAUCGCACUCGCCGCCACGCACACCUUUUUCGGUCAGCACACGUCCUGCGCAUUCUCACUCUUCAAAUUCUGCCUUUGUUCUUUGUGUAAUGGUUUUCUUUUCAAAUUGUUUGGUUACCGUGUGUUAAUAUAUUAUGUGGUCAAGAGAACAUGUGUAUUGGUUUGUCAUAGAGUGCAUCUUUGUUAUAUGUUGC